UACGAAGGGGGCGAGCGUUGUUCGGAAUCACUGGGCGUAAAGGGCGCGUAGGCGGCCCUCCUUGUCGCGUGUGAAAGCCCCGGGCUCAACCUGGGAACGGCGCGCGAGACGGGGGGGCUGGAGUUCGGGAGAGGAGAGUGGAAUUCCCAGUGUAGAGGUGAAAUUCGUAGAUAUUGGGAAGAACACCGGUGGCGAAGGCGGCGCUCUGGACCGAGACUGACGCUGAGGCGCGAAAGCGUGGGGAGCAAACAGG
rnacentral:rRNA from 1 species